AAUUCAAGCCCGAAAAUUCGGUACCUCUGAUGGUGAGGCCGGAGCAGCAAUGGCCACCUCAGCCACCGCCGCUGCAGCAGCAAGAUCAUCAGGGACUGAUGAUGGGUACUGAUCAUCAUCAGAACCAAGGGGAGGAUUAUCAUGAUCAGCAAGAUAAAGAGAACAAUAUCGGUGAUGACGAUGAUGAUGAGGAGGAUGAAGAGGAGGAGGAUGAGGAGGAGGAGGAUGAUGAUGAUGAAGGAGAUGGGAACUAUGAGAUAGUGGCAAACAAACAAGCUCCAGUGGGUGCAGCAACAGCUGAAUGACUGAGUCAUGACUUGAGAAAAAGCGCAACAUAACAUGGAUUCAAAGAAAGUGGGUCAGAUUUUGC
rnacentral:lncRNA from 1 species